UGGCUCAGGAUGAACGCUGGCGGCGUGCUUAACACAUGCAAGUCGAACGAGAAUCAGUGGAACAAGGAUUCGUCUGAGGGAAGCUGAGGAAAGUGGCGGACGGGUGAGUAACGCGUGAGCAAUCUGCCUUGGAGUGGGGAAUAACGGCUGGAAACAGCCGCUAAUACCGCAUGAUGCAUCUGAGUCGCAUGGUUUGGAUGCCAAAGAUUUAUCGCUCUGAGAUGAGCUCGCGUCUGAUUAGCUAGUUGGCGGGGUAAUGGCCCACCAAGGCGACGAUCAGUAGCCGGACUGAGAGGUUGGCCGGCCACAUUGGGACUGAGACACGGCCCAGACUCCUACGGGAGGCAGCAGUGGGGAAUAUUGGGCAAUAGGCGCAAGCCUGACCCAGCAACGCCGCGUGAAGGAAGAAGGCUUUCGGGUUGUAAACUUCUUUUAUUCGGGACGAAGAAAGUGACGGUACCGAAUGAAUAAGCCACGGCUAACUACGUG
rnacentral:rRNA from 1 species